rnacentral:rRNA from 1 species
UACGUAGGGGGCAAGCGUUAUCCGGAUUUACUGGGUGUAAAGGGGGCGCAGACGGCGAUGCAAGCCAGGAGUGAAAGCCCGGGGCCCAACCCCGGGACUGCUCUUGGAACUGCGUGGCUGGAGUGCAGGAGGGGCAGGCGGAAUUCCUGGUGUAGCGGUGAAAUGCGUAGAUAUCAGGAGGAACACCGGUGGCGAAAGCGGCUCUCUGGCCUGUAACUGACACUGAGGCUCGAAAGCGUAGGGAGCAAACAGG